ACUAUGUGGUUUGUAAUAGUAUUUGGCUAUGAAAUAUAUGUAUUUUACGAUGUUUAUGUGCUCAAAAUGAUAAGUUUAUUUAUAUAUGGCUUACUAAGCUUUUGAAAGCUUACUUUGUGUGUGUUUGCAUUGUCUUAUAGAUUAUUGAAACUACUGAAAGCUUGAGGAUCGUCAAGGAUCAUCACCACACUAUCGAACUCUAUUUUGGUACCUU
rnacentral:lncRNA from 1 species